GAACUAACCACGGAGCGAAAUUAUUCUACUUCCGGUGGUCCUCAUCAAGGACGAAACCGAAUUCGGAAUCUGCAAAUAAAAGAAUGUGGUGGUCAAUUCUUCCAUCCACCUUACUGUCGGUUGGGUUUCUCUGUGCCCCUGGCAUGUUAUGCGAUAAAUUUUUCCGAUUCAUUCGUUAUAAUGACAAGAGUGUACAAAGAGACACAUUUGACCCAACAGACUUUUUAUUGAGUCACAGAGAUUACUAUAUAAUGGGGAGCAGAUACGUUCGACGGGGCUUGGACUUUAUUCCGGAAGUUGAUUAGAGAGAAGAAUUGCCAGUACUUGACGUUGAAGAUAUGUUACCAUGAUAUGAUUAUAGAAUAUAAACAAAUUCUUUCCAAAUUG